CCAUGCCAUGGGCGCAGGCUGACCAGCCACGUCGCGUGCAGGAUGACGGCCCUAUGGGUUGUAAACUGCUUUUAUGCGGGAAUAAAUUUCGGCACGUGUGGAGAUUUGCAUGUACCGCAUGAAUAAGGAUCGGCUAAUUCCGUGCCAGCAGCCGCGGUAAUGAGUA
rnacentral:rRNA from 1 species